GGGCGUGUGGCGUAGUCGGUAGCGCGCUCCCUUAGCAUGGGAGAGGUCUCCGGUUCGAUUCCGGACUCGUCCU
rfam:Saccharomyces cerevisiae Vin13 chromosome XIII, whole genome shotgun sequence.